rnacentral:rRNA from 1 species
UACGAAGGGGGCUAGCGUUGCUCGGAAUUACUGGGCGUAAAGGGUGCGUAGGCGGCUUUUUAAGUUUGGUGUGAAAUCUCCCGGCUCAACUGGGAGGGUGCGCCGAAUACUGAGAAGCUAGAGUGUGGGAGAGGAAAGUGGAAUUCCUGGUGUAGCGGUGAAAUGCGUAGAUAUCAGGAGGAACACCGGUGGUGUAAACGGCUUUCUGGACCAUAACUGACGCUGAGGCACGAAAGCGUGGGUAGCAAACAGG